rnacentral:miRNA from 1 species
GGCGUUUUGUUUUAGAUGUCU